rnacentral:ncRNA from 1 species
UUAAAUACUUUGAUGGAGCAAAAAAAUCAAGGGUAUAAAUUUCCAGAGAGAAAUGACUUGGCUGAAAUCAUUUCAGUUUAUCUUGAUUCUAAUUUCACUCUGGAGUUUAUGAGCUGAUUGAAUGUAGGCUUAUACGGGAUGACCGUUAAUCUAAAUGAGAAGUAAUAAGAGUGGUACCGCGGCACUUCGCCUCUUUU